AGAGAGAGAAACUGCCUAGAACUUCCUGAAUAACAUAGUGUACCUGGAGGAGCCCCGCAGCACUUUGGGAGAUGAGUGUUCCCAAACUGAACCCGCUCACUGGGAGGUGCAGCCCAGCUGAGAGCGAAGUGCGCGGGGGGGCCCCUUCUCCAAAUAGAAAAGAGCCUUUCGAGAAAAGUCGGGUGGGGGGAUGGUAGGAAGGAAGGAAAGAAUGAAUACAUAAAAGAAGGAAUAUUAAAGAUCAGAGACAAAGUUAAAGAGGGGAAAGGGUUUUCUCGUUCCUUUCUUUUCCUGGUGACUUGGGCCCUCAGAAUCUCGUUGGAGAGACACGCAGAGUGCACGGACGCGUGCCCAAUUGCCAGCAAUUGCUUCGAAAACCCAGCUUGUCUCUCUUCGCUCUACUCUUAGGCACAGUCAAAACCGGUCAGGAGGAAAAGGGGGAAGUGGGACAGGGGCUCCGAUGGAGGGAAAUGAAAGAAGGGAACGUCCUCAUCCUCCCUCUGCAGCCUCUCCCCUGCUCUCUUUGGGCGAAUCGGAGAGGCGGGCGCUGCGCUGGGGAAAGUUUGUCUCACCCGCACCUCGCAGCGGGCUUCGAGGAGGGGAGGAGACGCGGGAAGUACAGCUCCGCGCCUGCGGCCGCGAGGACAACUGAGCUAGCGCCGCGCUUACCUCGCAGUCCUCGUACUUGAUAUUAUCCGUCAGUUUCCAAAGCAUUUUCAUGGAUCGGCGUGAAUGGAUUUGCCCCCUCUCCGCCUCGCACCCAAGUGGAGCUACUCUCUGGCCUAAUCGCCUCAUUAGCAUAUCAACAAUAGUCCAAUUGCUCGCCAGCACCACAAUCUGCCGCCGGCCGCUCCGACCCAGGUAUAAAGGCCUCUCCAAGCCGCAAACCUGCUCCUAGAGCGCGCUCCUGCCGGGGAUCCCACGAAAUCUCCCUUGAGCCCCGCCGCGCGGCCCUGCCCCGGCGCCCCCGCCCCCAUGCCACUCUUCUCUCUCCUCUCCUCUGCUCUCUUCUCCGUCUCCUCCUCGCCGGAGACGACCCGGCAAAAGCCCGGCACCGCGCAGGGUCCGAGCGACCGCGCCGGGGCCCAGCUUUCGGCACCUCUCCCUCAUCCCUGCCUCCACCAGCGGCUCUGUCCUUUCGGCUCCGUCCAAUCUUAUUAGAAAUUACUAUCCCUUUCGCAAUCAGAUGUAACCACCAAACGAAGACCGGCGAAGUCACGUCAGGAUUUUUGCCCAACAAGAGAUCGCCUCCGCUCCCCGGCAGCUGACACCUCCGGCCGCGGCGCCCUGGGACUUUUACUGGCUUCGCGCUUCCCAGCCCACCCCACCCCCCCAGGUUGGAGAUUUUGCCAGACGGCUUCAGUCGCCCGGCUGGGGUUUGGGAUCCUUUAAUUGCCGCGUGUAAAAUAAAAAGUGUACCCUGAAGAGGUUACUUGACA